rnacentral:ribozyme from 16 species
ACCCAAGAAAAACAAGAACAAAAAAAAAAAAAAGCCGUAUUGGACGAAGAGGUGAAGUGAUCUCUCGACUAUACAAUGAAUGAUUUGUCAGCCUUGUUUUCUCUUGUUUU